rnacentral:rRNA from 1 species
UACAGAGGUCUCAAGCGUUGUUCGGAUUCAUUGGGCGUAAAGGGUGCGUAGGCGGCGCGGUAAGUCGGGUGUGAAAUCUUGGAGCUUAACUCCGAAACUGCAUUCGAUACUGCCGUGCUUGAGGACUGGAGAGGAGACUGGAAUUUACGGUGUAGCGGUGAAAUGCGUAGAUAUCGUAAGGAAGACCAGUGGCGAAGGCGGCUCGCUGGGCCACUCCUGACGCUGAGACGCGAAAGCUAGGGGAGCGAACAGG